rnacentral:lncRNA from 1 species
CCACUAUUUUGAUGGCUUAGGAAAUUUAAAAAUAGAUUAACACUAGAGAUAUAUAAAUAUCAUACAAAAAACAUAAAGAUGGUAAAACUAUAAUGUAUUUUUCUAACACAAAAUAUAAUGCCAUUUAUUGCCUCAUAAAAAUUUGAAACUAAAACACAUUUUGUACAUAGAGAAACAAAAAAGAAAAAAAAUUGUGGGCAAACAGUUUGUACUUAAAUAGUUGGAUGGAGUAAAUUGAACCAAAUGUUAGUUUAGAGGAUUAUCUAAAUAUAGUCCAAACUUGGAGGG